GAGAGAUUCAUCGUCAUUCCGCGGCGUACGGGCUGCGCGCUUCGAUGUCGUCGACCUCGGUCGUCAGGCACGACGCGCGUCCGUCGACGUCCGCGGACGGCGUGCACUUCUCUCUUAGUAAAUACAUCGCGACCCGUUCGAUGUCGGUCUAAGCGCCGUUCGGGAGCCCCAUGGUCCCUUCACGGGGUCUAUGGGACCGCGACGGUGGCCGACCGGCCGUCGGACGGUAGUUCUGACGAAACGCGCACGCGUUUAUAACGCGUCCGGCCCGACGCAAGUCAACGUCGUAUCCAACGUACCGCCUCAGCGCGGACGUAGGUGCGGCGCGUCUGUUGUUGCCGCCGUGCAGUCUCGGAC
rnacentral:rRNA from 1 species